UCCCGCAUAGCACAGUGGUUUGAGUGUUGGACUACGAUUCUGGAGACCAGGGUUCAAUUCCCAGCUCGGCAA